UACGGAGGAUGCGAGCGUUAUCCGGAUUUAUUGGGUUUAAAGGGUGCGCAGGCGGACUGUUAAGUCAGCGGUAAAAUGUCGGUGCUCAACACCGGCCGGCCGUUGAAACUGGCAGCCUUGAGUGAGCGAGAAGUAUGCGGAAUGCGUGGUGUAGCGGUGAAAUGCGUAGAUAUCAGGAGGAACACCGGCGGCGAAGGCGGCCUGCUGGACUGAAACUGACGUUGAGGCUCGAAAGCGUGGGGAGCAAACAGG
rnacentral:rRNA from 1 species